CCCAUCAGAUCGACCCUGUUGAUCU
rnacentral:piRNA from 1 species